ACGAACGCUGGCGGCGUGCCUAAUACAUGCAAGUAGAACGCUGAAGAGAGGAGCUUGCUCUUCUUGGAUGAGUUGCGAACGGGUGAGUAACGCGUAGGUAACCUGCCUUGUAGCGGGGGAUAACUAUUGGAAACGAUAGCUAAUACCGCAUAACAAUGGAUGACACAUGUCAUUUAUUUGAAAGGGGCAAUUGCUCCACUACAAGAUGGACCUGCGUUGUAUUAGCUAGUAGGUGAGGUAAUGGCUCACCUAGGCGACGAUACAUAGCCGACCUGAGAAGGUGAUCGGCCACACUGGGACUGAGACACGGCCCAGACUCCUACGGGAGGCAGCAGUAGGGAAUCUUCGGCAAUGGGGGCAACCCUGACCGAGCAACGCCGCGUGAGUGAAGAAGGUUUUCGGAUCGUAAAGCUCUGUUGUAAGUCAAGAACGGGUGUGAGAGUGGAAAGUUCACACUGUGACGGUAGCUUACCAGAAAGGGACGGCUAACUACGUGCCAGCAGCCGCGGUAAUACGUAGGUCCCGAGCGUUGUCCGGAUUUAUUGGGCGUAAAGCGAGCGCAGGCGGUUUGAUAAGUCUGAAGUUAAAGGCUGUGGCUCAACCAUAGUUCGCUUUGGAAACUGUCAAACUUGAGUGCAGAAGGGGAGAGUGGAAUUCCAUGUGUAGCGGUGAAAUGCGUAGAUAUAUGGAGGAACACCGGUGGCGAAAGCGGCUCUCUGGUCUGUAACUGACGCUGAGGCUCGAAAGCGUGGGGAGCGAACAGGAUUAGAUACCCUGGUAGUCCACGCCGUAAACGAUGAGUGCUAGGUGUUGGAUCCUUUCCGGGAUUCAGUGCCGCAGCUAACGCAUUAAGCACUCCGCCUGGGGAGUACGACCGCAAGGUUGAAACUCAAAGGAAUUGACGGGGGCCCGCACAAGCGGUGGAGCAUGUGGUUUAAUUCGAAGCAACGCGAAGAACCUUACCAGGUCUUGACAUCCCGAUGCUAUUUCUAGAGAUAGAAAGUUACUUCGGUACAUCGGUGACAGGUGGUGCAUGGUUGUCGUCAGCUCGUGUCGUGAGAUGUUGGGUUAAGUCCCGCAACGAGCGCAACCCCUAUUGUUAGUUGCCAUCAUUCAGUUGGGCACUCUAGCGAGACUGCCGGUAAUAAACCGGAGGAAGGUGGGGAUGACGUCAAAUCAUCAUGCCCCUUAUGACCUGGGCUACACACGUGCUACAAUGGUUGGUACAACGAGUUGCGAGUCGGUGACGGCGAGCUAAUCUCUUAAAGCCAAUCUCAGUUCGGAUUGUAGGCUGCAACUCGCCUACAUGAAGUCGGAAUCGCUAGUAAUCGCGGAUCAGCACGCCGCGGUGAAUACGUUCCCGGGCCUUGUACACACCGCCCGUCACACCACGAGAGUUUGUAACACCCGAAGUCGGUGAGGUAACCUUUUGGAGCCAGCCGCCUAAGGUGGGACAGAUGAUUGGGGUG
rnacentral:rRNA from 1 species